rnacentral:rRNA from 1 species
AGAGUUUGAUCCUGGCUCAGAUUGAACGCUGGCGGCAUGCCUUACACAUGCAAGUCGAACGGUAGCGGGCCUUCGGGUGCCGACGAGUGGCGAACGGGUGAGUAAUGCAUCGGAACGUGCCAUUGAGUGGGGGAUAACGUAGCGAAAGUUACGCUAAUACCGCAUAUUCUGUGAGCAGGAAAGCAGGGGACCGCAAGGCCUUGCGCUCUUUGAGCGGCCGAUGUCGGAUUAGCUAGUUGGCGUGGUAAAGGCCCACCCAGGCGACGAUCCGUAGCGGGUCUGAGAGGAUGAUCCGCCACACUGGGACUGAGACACGGCCCAGACUCCUACGGGAGGCAGCAGUGGGGAAUUUUGGACAAUGGGGGCAACCCUGAUCCAGCCAUGCCGCGUGAGUGAAGAAGGCCUUCGGGUUGUAAAGCUCUUUCGGCCGGGAAAAAAUCGCCUCUCUGAAUACGGGGGGUGGAUGAUG